GGACGCAUAGCUCCCGAAUCGCCAGCCCACAGGCGCGGCAAACUGCUCCCAUGGCUACGAGGCAGGAGUGACCUUCAAUCCAGCGUUUGUGUUUGGGAAACUUAUUUGGCUGAUUUGAUUGUACCCUCGCAGCUGGUGUUCACGCGCUCAAGAGAUGGGUUCGUUAUCUUAUGUGCAUGUAUACUGCCUGGCUUUUCUAUGCGCAAGAUUUGUACCAAUGAGAAGCGUUGUAAGCAGGGAAGUGUAAAGAAUAAAAGCCCCAGGAAAAGUUCCUGGAGGUAGAGGGGCUUUUCGGCUACCACAGACCUGGCGUUCUGUUUCCUUUCCUGCGUUGUCACCACAGCUGGUGACCCCGACGUGAUACCCCUCUACUCACCGGCUGGAUAUGCCGAGCGCGCCCGCGGCUGUUUGCCGCCCCUUAUUCAUAAAAGAAGUGCUACCCAAAGACCCUAGCAGCCCUGCCGUUUAUUGAAACAAGGAAACGGAGUCUAUGUAAAGUCCAUCAACGAAAGACUGCUUUGGCUCCACACUGGAAAGGCCCUUUCCAAGUCCUGUUAACCACCAACACUGCUGUGAAGUGCCAAGGACUGCCCACCUGGACCCAUGCUUCUCACUGCAAAAAGACCCCUCCACCUGGAGAGGAUUCUCCAGCUGCUAAUCAGCCUAUUUCUCCUGCUAGCUCUGCUGUGCCUCCUGGACAGCAGGGAAAGAGAACAAGGUGAAGUGCUAGUAACCUCUCCCUUGUCCACUGACAGACCUACUGUUGCUUUGAAUUUUUCUAGAAGAAGCAAAACCAUUACAGGGUGAUGUGCUAGUAACCUCUCCCCUACAUGAUGCUAAACCACACUGUUUCAGGAAAAGAGAAGAAGGAACACUUGCUUAAUUGAAACCAUAAAGUCCAGGAAUUCCUGACUACAAAAGACAUUAAGAAUUGGCCCUGGUGAAGAAGCAAAGAAUUAUACCCUAGCAGAAAGAAACUUGUGGGACCCAUGCUUGGGAACGUGGUAUUGAUUAGAUUUUAAGGUUUAUCUUACAGGCUGCGCCCUGUGUUUUGGAUAAGUCCUUCAGCAUGUAUUGCCCUCCCUAAUUGGAUUUUAAAUGAUAAGUACCAAAGGCACCUUGUUGCCAUUGCCCCUGCCAUCUCCUCUAUUACACUAUUACCCCUGUAACACAUCCAAAUACAGACAAUGACCCAGAAGUUGCUGACAGAGAUGGUAUUGAAUAUCACUGAGGCUGGGAAGGCAUUGCAGUGGGAUCUAGCAUGUUCAGAAAUUCAGGAUUUCCUGAAUGACUAGCUAAUGGCCAUUCGGAAUGAUCUAGAGCAUCAGGCUUGGCCCACUGCCCUUACAGACACAUCAGGAGUACCAUCUGAUCUGCGGCCAUGGAGACAUACUUAGAGACUUUCUGGGUAAAAGUGCAAACGUUCUCAAUGCUCCUUCCAAGCAUAUGGACCGGUUGAAGGGGUGUGGCCUCUCACAUACCGAAUCCUGCUGGGUCCAUGGGGAGGAUGCAUGUGGGAUUGAGUAAUUCACCAAGACAUCUGGGAAAUUAGACUACCUGGUAUGCCCAGUUAAUUUUAGUCAGUGCUCCUGGGAUUACACCUGACAGGACGCUUACUCUUUUAAGCUAAUGAUAGCUGUGUGUAUGUUAAAGCCUCCACAUUGCAAGACAUACAUUUUAAUCUCAUUACCACUGCAGGCAAUCAUAUCAUUUACUGGCCUGCAGAUAGAGUUUUUCAAGUAGCCCUUAGGUUCCAGAUACCCUUUAAUUGGACUAGUUUAGUAUCUGAUUUCAGAAUUUGUUUUCACUGUUACCAGAGAUUCCGAAAAUCUCUGAAGUACAAGGGCAAAUUCACAUGCUUUAUAAUAUAUAUUAAGUUGAAAAGUAUGCUUUCCAGACAGCUUAUAGAGUAUCCAUUUUAUGUACUAAGUAGGAUGUAUUGUGCUUUAUGAUUAAGAUUGUACAACAGCCCCAUUAUAUUAUUGUUAUGGGAAUGUUAUUGCUUGUGUUGCUAUUAGUUAGCUUAGGAUUAUGUUAUCAUUGUUGUAAAAGACAUAAUAAUAGUAAUACCUUUCAUGUUUAUGCUAAUCAUGCAUUGUCAUUACAUCCAAUCAGAACCCCUAAGAUUGAAGCAUCUGAUGUAGAAUUUGAAGUCCAGGGCUUAAUGCAAAUAGAGAUUUAAGAAUGUUUGUUGUACUAGGAAAAUAAAAUAAAAAAAGGGGGGGGGGAGGGGUCGUGGAAGCAGGGAAAGAACUGUCAGAAAAGAACUGCUAUGCAUGACAGUUUGUUAGUAAGAGUCAGGCUAACUGUAACCCUGAUAACGCGAGAUUUGUAGAAGCGAGGAUUGUGUGAGGCGGGUGAGAAAGUACUGUGUGAGAAGUUAUUGUGACCUUGUGUAGAUAAGGUCUAGAAAAUAUUGUAUGUUGGCAAGAGUCAAAACAAGUAAGGAAUUAAGAUAUCAAGAUGGCCUAUGUAUAACAAAAUGCAGCUGUCCCUCAUUAUUUCUGUAAUGAAAAGUAUAAAUGCAAGGUCUGUUAAGUACCUGCCUUGUUCCUGUCUGUAAACCACCCAGCAACAUCUGGGAUGUGAGACAGUGAAAGAAAUGUGCUGUUUUAAGCUUACUGAUAAUAGUUUUGCAUGUAAUAGUAAAUUGAUAUGCUGAAAUGCUAUGCUUAAGCCAUCCGCCAAGACGUUUUUCCUCCUUGGUGAGAUUAUAUCUAGUUAUAGCCACCCUUAGAGUGGAUGAAGACCCUUUUAUAGUAUGGGGUCCUAGUUUUGAUGUUUGAUGUUUUACUUUGCUGCUUUGUUUAAUGUUUACCCAAUCUAGUGACAUUGUGUAUGCUACCCUGCGAGAGUGUUUUGUUUAAACACCGCAUCUAUAAAAUAAAACAGGGGGGGAUGUAGGGACGCAUAGCUCCCGAAUCGCCAGCCCACAGGCGCGGCAAACUGCUCCCAUGGCUACGAGGCAGGAGUGACCUUCAAUCCAGCGUUUGUGUUUGGGAAACUUAUUUGGCUGAUUUGAUUGUACCCUCGCAGCUGGUGUUCACGCGCUCAAGAGAUGGGUUCGUUAUCUUAUGUGCAUGUAUACUGCCUGGCUUUUCUAUGCGCAAGAUUUGUACCAAUGAGAAGCGUUGUAAGCAGGGAAGUGUAAAGAAUAAAAGCCCCAGGAAAAGUUCCUGGAGGUAGAGGGGCUUUUCGGCUACCACA